GAUAAACGCUGGCGGCGUGCUUAACACAUGCAAGUCGAACGAAGUUUUUCUUUCGGGAGGAACUUAGUGGCGGACGGGUGAGUAACGCGUGGGUAACCUGCCCUGUACAGGGGGACAACAGCUGGAAACGGCUGCUAAUACCGCAUAAGCCCUUAGCACUGCAUGGUGCAUAGGGAAAAGGAGCAAUCCGGUACAGGAUGGACCCGCGUCUGAUUAGCCAGUUGGCAGGGUAACGGCCUACCAAAGCGACGAUCAGUAGCCGAUCUGAGAGGAUGUACGGCCACAUUGGGACUGAGACACGGCCCAGACUCCUACGGGAGGCAGCAGUGGGGAAUAUUGCACAAUGGAGGAAACUCUGAUGCAGCGACGCCGCGUGAGUGAAGAAGUAUUUCGGUAUGUAAAGCUCUAUCAGCAGGAAAGAAAAUGACGGUACCUGACUAAGAAGCACCGGCUAAAUACGU
rnacentral:rRNA from 1 species